CAGGAUUAAACUUUCAAACCCUCUGUGCUGAGACCUGAAGAGGGCACACUGGUGUGAGCAACAUCCCAGAUCAUUUAGCUUUGAAACGAUGUCUCUGAAGAACACUUCAAACGGGAGCUUGCAGAUUGUUUGCUCCUCUAACCGAUCGCCUGUCUUGGAGAGUGGGACUCUUUAUAAGUCUCUCUCCCUCAGCAGCAGUCAUGUGAAUGACAGGCUCAGUAGUGGCAAAGAUGGUCAGGACGAGAAAGGCAGCGACCACGCCCCGUUCCUGGACAGUGGCAUGGUGUCUCGUCCCUGUCGGAAACCGGUCAGGAUGGUGAGGCCUGUAAGUGCCCUCAGCCCGGCAACUUCCUUUAUCCAGAUCAGUCGCUUACAGGGAGAACUGGUGAGGAAGAGAAAGGAAUGUGAGGAUUUGAAGCAGCAGAACAAGUACCUGACCAGCGAGAUUCACAUGGAGAGGAUAAUGAUGAGGACGGAGAGUGAGCUCACAAUGAGGAAUCUGAGAAACCUCAACCAGGAGCUCCAGGCACAGGUUAAAGAGUUGAAGCAGAAGCUCCACGCCUGCCAGCAGAGGGUGAGCCUGUGCACCAGGGCAGCUGGAGAUGCAGAUGUGGCCAGAUGUGAGGCAGAGAGGAGCCGGGCGCAGGCCGAGGCUCGGGCGAAGGAUUCAGAGGUGGAGAAAGACUUGGCACUGGCGGAGAAGGGCAAGCUGACGGAGGAGCUGCAGCAUCUGAAGACCAGGCUAAACGAUGUUCAGCAAUUGCUCAACCAAGGAGAGAAGAACUACUUUGAAUGCAAACUAAAAUUAGACAAGAUUUCGGUAGAAAGACAAGUUCUUCUGGAAGAAAACCGAGACUUAGAACACGAGAGGAAUGAACUGCGACACAAAUUGAAGGAGCUCACUGAGCAGAAUGUGAAGCUCAAAGAAAAGGAGGUGAGCUCCAGGCGCCGGGCCCUGUCGGCUGAGGAGGCGAGCGAGCAGGCCGUGAAAGCGAGGCUGGAGGCGGAGCGCGAGAAGAGGCUGCUGGAGCACGAGAGGCAGGAGAGGAUGGCGGAGGGCCUCGUGUGGAGGGAGAGACACCAGGCCUUGGCCGACGUCCUCAAGGCCCAGGAGGAGCUAUACUCCCAGAGACAGAACAAAGGAUGCCAGGUGAAUAUCAAGAGUUAUUUCUUAUGUGUGACUGAAAAUGACCAGAAAAUUAAAAUCCUGAAAAAUCAAGAUGGGACUCCAAGACAUUUGAUGGUAAGUAUUCAAGACAAAAUUGUACUGUGGGGCCCCAGAAAGGCUGUGCAAUGGAGAACUUAGAACCAUCUUACUCUCAUCUUUGAAAUUCACAUUAAACAUCUAGGUAUUCUGCAUUCAGGCUAAAGUUUUUCGUUUUAAUUUUCUGAAAUUCCUAAAGCUUCAAAUUCACAACAAUGGUCAGACAUUGAGAUGCAGAGCUUUGUUCUUCAUCUUGUUUUCAAGACAAAGUGAAAGAAUGAGCAGAACCACAAAACCAGUAUUUUGUAGAGAGCUGUUUCAAUUGAACUAGAUACUGUAGGUGUAGGCAGUUACCUCCCUAUGAUACCACACUCCCUAAAAGUUUCUUUCUUCUCAAAGCUGUUAACCAACUGUGCCAAAAUCAGAAAUUCCCCCAGUGAAUGGAUGACAGCAGCUGAUAAGUAGUGU
ensembl:lincRNA